GAUGAACGCUGGCGGCGUGCCUAAUACAUGCAAGUCGAGCGAACAGACGAGUAGCUUGCUCCUCUGACGUUUGCGGCGGACGGGUGUGUAACACGUGGAUAACCUACCUAUAAGACUGGGAUAACUUCGGGAAACCGGAUCUAAUACCGUAUAAUAUUUUGAACGGCAUGGUUCAAUAGUGAAAGACGGUUUUGCUGUCACUUAUAGAUGGAUCCGCGCCGCAUUAGCGAGUUGGUAAGGUAACGGCUUACCAAGGCGACGAUGUGUAGCCGACGUGAGAGGGUGAUCGGCCACACUGGAACUGGGACACGGUCCAGACUCAUACGGGAGGCAGCAGUAGGGAAUCUUCCGCAAUGGGCGAAAUCCUGACGCAGCAACGCCGAGUGCGUGAUGAAGGUGUUCGGAUCGUAAAACUCUGUUAUUAGGGAAGAACAAAUGUGUAAGUAGCUAUGCACGUCUUGACGGUACCUGAUCAGAAAGCCACGGCUAACUACGUG
rnacentral:rRNA from 1 species